GUUUACUAAAAAACACAAGAAAGGGAAAGAUAUUAUAUACAGCAUAAAAUGGAGAGCUCGAAUUCCUCGGGACCGGCCCUGGUAGUUCGAGGGAUCCAUAAUUCGAGGGAUAUCUUACAAAGAUAAAGAAGAGGGGGAAAAAAAACGAGCCGCAGGCACAGUUCGACGUAUGCGUCAUUUCGAGUUUUCUGUGUUCAACCUAUCCGUGAUAUACUGUACUUUGAAAACCUAUAAACGAAUUUUUGUCUGUGGCGUCGUGGUGAAAUCGGUGAGGCGCUUAUCAAAAUCGGAGCACCGGGAAACAGCGACUCUAUUUUUUAAAACAGGGAAAAAAUUCGUCAGCGGAACAGCGACUGCCCUAAGUGAAUACCUCAUCUUGGUGGCAUUGAUCAUGGUAUCGAUGGAGCCCGCCGACAGUAAAAUUUUGUUUAUAAACCUUUUAAAUGCUACGUUCCAUCGGAAAAAUAGUAUCAAAUUCGGAACUAGCCUAUCAAAAUUAACAAAACGAUUUGAUGCUGUAUCUAAAUUUUAGCAAACUUUGACUUUGAAUGGUCAAUUUUGAGUUUGAAGCCAUGUAUCGAGGUCACCCACUGCAUUGUGCAUCAUACUAAAGUUCCAGAAAUUGACACUCACAGUUAAGUUCUCAGUGCUCAAAUGCUCUCAGAAAUCUCCCCCAUUAUUAUUCUUAUGUUUCCACGUCACCCGUCUGUUCCGCUUUUUCAAAUAAGUUUUUUUCCAGUCCACCCCUGCCUCGUUUGCCUUCUAUUUUUCCAGUGAGAGCAAGAUGUCCAAACACUUUCUGUUGAGUUGAGUGUCCCAGAAACCGUAUUUGUCACUUCCUAAUAUACAGUACUCAUUAGUGAGUGGACCACCUAACCUUCAUUCAUUUCUUCCUCGUCCGAUUUCUUUUCUGUCUAUGAAAUUUCCAGAAGUUUCCUUUCUCAUUUGAUUUCUUUUCUGUCCAUGAAAUUCCCACAAAUUUUCCUAUCUCAUAUGAUGUCAUUGCAGUCCAUGAAAUUCUGAAAAGUUUUCAAUCUCAUUUGAUUUCUUUGCUGUCCUGGAAUUUCUCAGAGGUGUCCUAUCUCAUUUGAUUUCUUUUCUGACCAUGAAAUUCUAAGAAGUUUCCAAUUUGCUUUCUUUGCUCUCCAUGAAAUUCUCAAGUCUCCUGAGAAACCUCAUUUCUGUUGCUCCUAUUUUACUUCCAUUAUCUUUGGUAUUUGUCCAGCAUGCAAAGCCGUAUAGAAGACUACACAUAGCCUUUUAGAACCCUUAUUUCAGUAGUCAUUAAGAUGUUUCUAAUAAAUGACUUAUUUCCUUGGUCUUUCACAUUUUCCUUUAAUCAUUCCUCCUGGGUUGUUGUUUUUUUCAGAAUGUUCACAUGACAGAAGACAGAGCAAAAAAAAACCCAGGAAAAUUUUGGCAGAGCGAUGGGGCACAAAAGAGUAACAGAGACGAAAGAAGUUCUGAGGAGAAAGGGAAAGUGGAAGGAAGAAGAAAGCCAGACAGACCACCCACAUGACGAACAUUACGACUAUCACCAGGAAAUUUAGAGGGCUAAGAGCCUUCAAGUUGGCGAGAAGCUAGCAAGACCAGGAUGAGUAGAGAAAACGAUUCCUAAAGGAGGGCCAACCCAGACUGAGUGGGGAAACAACAUCCCAGCAGACAGACGGAGACAUUUCAUAAAAGGGCCUCCACGCAUGAGAAACGUGCUCACUUCUGUGUGCGACAGCGCAAAGCCUAACUGCUACACAACAGAUGCAGACUUCCAGAUGUCAGAUGAUGACUAACUGCAUGAUGUACCUCGACCCACAGCACCACUGAAAAGAAUUUGACAGGACCAUGGAUAUGACAACAACGGUAGCAUUCAGAUGACGGAUGAUGAUUUUGCUUCUCUCGACCAUGGAUGAUGAACGGGAUCUCAUAAAAACCAUUUUUAUACAAUUUUAAGAUAUUUUUGUUAGUUGUCUAAAUAAAUUUCCUGGUGUCUUUUUUU
rnacentral:lncRNA from 1 species